UGGGGAAUUUUGGACAAUGGGCGAAAGCCUGAUCCAGCAAUGCCGCGUGUGUGAAGAAGGCCUUCGGGUUGUAAAGCACUUUUGUCCGGAAAGAAAUCCUUGGCUCUAAUACAGUCGGGGGAUGACGGUACCGGAAGAAUAAGCACCGGCUAACUACGUGCCAGCAGCCGCGGUAAUACGUAGGGUGCAAGCGUUAAUCGGAAUUACUGGGCGUAAAGCGUGCGCAGGCGGUUUGCUAAGACCGAUGUGAAAUCCCCGGGCUCAACCUGGGAACUGCAUUGGUGACUGGCAGGCUAGAGUAUGGCAGAGGGGGGUAGAAUUCCACGUGUAGCAGUGAAAUGCGUAGAGAUGUGGAGGAAUACCGAUGGCGAAGGCAGCCCCCUGGGCCAAUACUGACGCUCAUGCACGAAAGCGUGGGGAGCAAACAGGAUUAGAUACCCUGGUAGUCCACGCCCCAAACGAUGUCAACUAGUUGUUGGGGAUUCAUUUUCCUUAGUAACGUGCUAACGCGUGAAGUUGACCGCCUGGGGGAGUACGGUCGCAAGAUUAAAACUCAAAGGAAUUGACGGGGUCAUA
rnacentral:rRNA from 1 species